rnacentral:rRNA from 1 species
AGAGUUUGAUCAUGGCUCAGGAUGAACGCUAGCGGCAGGCUUAAUACAUGCAAGUCGAGGGGCAGCAUGGGUGUAGCAAUACAUCUGAUGGCGACCGGCAAACGGGUGCGGAACACGUACACAACCUUCCUUUAAGUGGGGAAUAGCCCAGAGAAAUUUGGAUUAAUACCCCGUAACAUUAUGAUGUGGCAUCACAUUAUAAUUAUAGCUCAGGCGCUUAAUGAUGGGUGUGCGGCUGAUUAGAUAGUUGGCGGGGUAACGGCCCACCAAGUCUGCGAUCAGUAACUGGUGUGAGAGCACGACCAGUCACACGGGCACUGAGACACGGGCCCGACUCCUACGGGAGGCAGCAGUAAGGAAUAUUGGGCAAUGGAGGCAACUCUGACCCAGCCAUGCCGCGUGGAGGAUGAAGGUCCUCUGGAUUGUAAACUUCUUUUAUAUGGGACGAAAAAGGGCUUUUCUAAGUCAACUGACGGUACCAUAUGAAUAAGCACCGGCUAACUCCGUGCCAGCAGCCGCGGUAAUACGGAGGGUGCAAGCGUUAUCCGGAUUCACUGGGUUUAAAGGGUGCGUAGGUGGGUUGGUAAGUCAGUGGUGAAAUCUCCGAGCUUAACUUGGAAACUGCCAUUGAUACUAUCAGUCUUGAAUAUUGUGGAGGUCAGCGGAAUAUGUCAUGUAGCGGUGAAAUGCUUAGAUAUGACAUAGAACACCAAUUGCGAAGGCAGCUGGCUACACAUAUAUUGACACUGAGGCACGAAAGCGUGGGGAUCAAACAGGAUUAGAUACCCUGGUAGUCCACGCCCUAAACUAUGGAUACUCGACAUACGCGAUACACAGUGUGUGUCUGAGCGAAAGCAUUAAGUAUCCCACCUGGGAAGUACGAUCGCAAGAUUGAAACUCAAAUGAAUUGACGG